UCACAACAAGUUUGGCUGAUUGUUCCAUUACUGCAUUUGGCACUCGUUACACUAACUGUAGAUAUGGCUGCUGUGGAUCACAUUGCUGCACCAGUCAAUUUAAUCUCGUUGGACUGAUAGUUGGAGUAUGUGUUGGAGUAGGUACUUUAAUUGUCAUCAUUUGUGUCAUUGUUUGUAUCUGUCGUAGACGGCGGACAGCUGGUGUUGUGGUUCACUCCCAGCCUGGGAUGGUCAUACAACAAUCGACUUUGAUGACUCAAGGAGGAGUAAUAGUACCAGGGGCAGCUCAGCCUGGUGUUGUUUACCCACCACAAGGCUAUGGAUGUCCCCCUCAGCCAUAUGGAGCAUACCCACAGCCUGCAUAUUACCCGACCAACUAUCCCCUGCCUUACCCAACAAGCAGUGCCCCACCGUAUGAAUACAACCCAGCCCAACAACCAAUGUCAGACGCACCUUUUAAAAACUAAAAUGUGAUUAUGUGUUUGUUGACAUAAUACCAUACUUUGUUUUUGUCACUAACUAUAUAGAGCCUCUACUGGAUUUGCUUGUCUCAAAUGUACUCCAAAAAAUAAAAAAAAUAAAUAACUGUACUUGUAGCAACUAUUAUUCUAUUAGACCUAUCAGAGCACAACCCACAUGUUGGGCACAAGUGUACUUAUUGAUACACGCACACAGACACUGCUUUGACUUUGUGUUGUCUUACUUUAAGUACAGUUGAAAGGUUCACAUUGAAAUUGUUCACAUCUAGCAUGCUAUGCACUAGAUGAUUUGCUUCUGUCCAUUGAAAAAACCUACAGCGUACUUAAAAUGUUUUUUUUACUGGUAAAAAAUUGUUGGCUUUAAUUUUCACACACCACCUCUUUUGUUUAUGGUCACCAAAAAAUUUUACAUUUGAACUCAUCAGUAAAUCAAGAAAAAUGUUUUAAAUUACAAAUCACAAAGGUUUUUUGUUUCGGAAACUAUCGUCUCGAUGCUUAUGAUAUGAAGUUUGAUGUACACUGACCCUUGUUUUGUUGGAAACUUGUAACAAUUAACCAUACACGUUUCAGAAACAUUAAUUAGUUGAGCGCCUGGUAGUAGUUUUAAAGGCUAAAAGAAAAGAUUUAUACUGUCAGAUAGGUAUUUAUAUUAUCAGCAAUAAAUCUUUUUUGUUUAGAUCUGAUAAAACAAUUUAUUUGGCAGCAUUCAAAGUUUCUCUUUGUA
rnacentral:sRNA from 1 species